UAAUUGAAGAGUUUGAUCAUGGCUCAGAUUGAACGCUGGCGGCAGGCCUAACACAUGCAAGUCGAGCGGUAGCACAGGGAGCUUGCUCCUGGGUGACGAGCGGCGGACGGGUGAGUAAUGUCUGGGAAACUGCCUGAUGGAGGGGGAUAACUACUGGAAACGGUAGCUAAUACCGCAUAA
rnacentral:rRNA from 1 species